rnacentral:lncRNA from 1 species
GUUUGAUGCAACAUUAAUGAAAAUGCAAGCAUCUAUGUGUUAAUGAAAGGAUAAAAAUGUGUUCAUUUAUUUUGUUCUCUAUCCUUAGACCAGUCUACCACAACAGAACCACCAACAACAACAACAACGGCAACAGCAUCACCACUAACAACAACAACAACGCCACUGCCAGCAACGACAACAACAACGCCACAAACAACCAACACAACAACAACGACAAUACCACCGCCAACAACAAUGACAACAACACCACUGUCAACAACAACGACAACACCACAGACAACAACAACACCACCGACAACAACACCACUGCCAACAACCCCACUGCCAAUAACAACGACAACACCAUCCCCAACAACGACAACAACAACACCACCAGUGCUAACAACAAUGACACCACUACCGACAACAACAACAACAACAACUCCACCGCUAAUGACAACACCAGCACCACCAACACCGCCGCCAACGACAACAACAUCAACGCCAACAACAACGCCAACAACAACAACACCACAGCCAACAACAACACCAACAACAACAACACCACCGCCAACGACAACAACAACACCACCACCAACAACAACGACAACAACACUGCCAACAACAACACCACAGCCAACAACAACGCCAUCACCACCAACAACAACAACGCCACCACCAACAACAACAACACCACAGCCAACAACAACGCCACCGCCAAUGACAACAACAACAACAACACCACCGCCAACAACAACAACAACACCACAGCCAACAACAACACCACCACCAACAACAACAACAACAACACCACUGCCAACAACAACAACACCGCCAACAACGACAACAACAACGACAACAACACCACCACCGCCAACAACAACAACACCACCAACGACAACAACGCCACCUCCAACAACAACACCCCCGCCAAUGACUACAACAACGCCACCACCAACAACAACAACAACAACAACACCACCGCCAACGACAACAACAACACAACUGCCAACAACACCACUGCCAACAACAACGACAACAACAACAACGCCACUGCCAACUACAAAAGUAAUAAUAAUAACACAAACACCUAAACCAGAAACACCAAUACCAACAACCCAGGCACCUGUAAGUUAUCCCAUGUCACUUUCAUUAAAAGAGACUUUUGAUGCAAACCUGCAUAACGUAAACAGUGACAAAUUCAAGAAAUACAAAUCCGAUAUUGAGAAGGCAAUCAGUGAAAGUUACAAGGGUGUAAAAGGUUUCAUUUCUGCGACUGUCACUGGUUUUAGGUAUGAUAUAUUUUCCUUCCUUCAGUUUCUGCUAUGGUAUGGUCAUUAUACUUUUGUUGUAGCAAUGCACAAUUUCUAGUUUCUAAAUAGCUUUUGUGUUUGAGCAGGCCCGGAAGUGUGGUCGUAGACUUUUUUAUCACAUCAUCUACAGAAGUAGCAAUUUCUGUGGAAACAAGUCAAGCGAUCGUCACCAACAUGCAGGAUCUGAAGUACACAGUUGACACCGCUUCGGUCGCUCAAAGUGGUAAAAGAAAUGCUGUGUUUUUUUCUUUAGAACAAAUCUGCAAAAUGAUAUAGUACGAAAAUAGAAUUAACUGUAUAUUUCAAAAUAAUAUUUUAAUAAUGAAAACCCAUUGAAGUUGUUUGUAGGGGUUUCUUUAACAUCUAAAUCUAUAUAUUUUAGAGAACAUAAAGCUGAGCACAAGAGACUCUGUGUUUCCUGAAGAAGAUAUGACACUAUCGUGUCAAGCAAACAAUGCAAUUGGUAAUAUAGACUGGAGGUUUCAAGGAACUAUAAUACAGCCAAAACCUCAUCAUGUGUCCUCAGCAGAUAAUCGCACACUCACAGUUAAAAGUGUUGACAUUAGAGAUAAUGGUAAGUUUAAACCCACUGAAAUAUCUGUCUGUCUGUUUGUCUGUCUGUCCAGAAGUAGUACCAACCAAACACACAAAUAAAUCCAUAUAUGCAAAUGAAAAAAAAAAAAAUCUAAUUAGUUUACAAAGUAAGUUGUGCAUAAUAAAGUGAAAUGGUGCAGGGAAAAAGUAUUGAACACAUGAAUAAAAGAAGCUGUAGAAAGUC